CUGAACCAGCCAAGUAGCGUGAAGGAUGACUGCCCUAUGGGUUGUAAACUUCUUUUAUAUGGGAAUAAAGUUUUCCACGUGUGGAAUUUUGUAUGUACCAUAUGAAUAAGGAUCGGCUAACUCCGUGCCAGCAGCCGCGGUAAUACGGAGGAUCCGAGCGUUAUCCGGAUUUAUUGGGUUUAAAGGGAGCGUAGGUGGACAGUUAAGUCAGUUGUGAAAGUUUGCGGCUCAACCGUAAAAUUGCAGUUGAUACUGGCUGUCUUGAGUACAGUAGAGGUGGGCGGAAUUCGUGGUGUAGCGGUGAAAUGCUUAGAUAUCACGAAGAACUCCGAUUGCGAAGGCAGCUCACUGGACUGCAACUGACACUGAUGCUCGAAAGUGUGGGUAUCAAACAGGAUUAGAUACCCUGGUAGUCCACACAGUAAACGAUGAAUACUCGCUGUUUGCGAUAUACAGUAAGCGGCCAAGCGAAAGCAUUAAGUAUUCCACCUGGGGAGUACGCCGGCAACGGUGAAACUCAAAGGAAUUGACGGGGGCCCGCACAAGCGGAGGAACAUGUGGUUUAAUUCGAUGAUACGCGAGGAACCUUACCCGGGCUUAAAUUGCAUUUGAAUAUAUUGGAAACAGUAUAGCCGUAAGGCAAAUGUGAAGGUGCUGCAUGGUUGUCGUCAGCUCGUGCCGUGAGGUGUCGGCUUAAGUGCCAUAACGAGCGCAACCCUUAUCUUUAGUUACUAACAGGUCAUGCUGAGGACUCUAGAGAGACUGCCGUCGUAAGAUGUGAGGAAGGUGGGGAUGACGUCAAAUCAGCACGGCCCUUACGUCCGGGGCUACACACGUGUUACAAUGGGGGGUACAGAAGGCAGCUACCUGGUGACAGGAUGCUAAUCCCAAAAGCCUCUCUCAGUUCGGAUCGAAGUCUGCAACCCGACUUCGUGAAGCUGGAUUCGCUAGUAAUCGCGCAUCAGCCAUGGCGCGGUGAAUACGUUCCCGGGCCUUGUACACACCGCCCGUCAAGCCAUGAAAGCCGGGGGUACCUGAAGUACGUAACCGCAAGGAGCGUCCUAGGGUAAAACUGGUAAUUGGGGCUAAGUCGUAACAAGGUAGCCGUACCGGAAGGUGCGGCUGGAACACCU
rnacentral:rRNA from 1 species